UACGAAGGGGGCUAGCGUUGCUCGGAAUCACUGGGCGUAAAGGGUGCGUAGGCGGGUCUUUUAAGUCAGGGGUGAAAUCCUGGAGCUCAACUCCAGAACUGCCUUUGAUACUGAAGAUCUUGAGUUCGGGAGAGGUGAGUGGAACUGCGAGUGUAGAGGUGAAAUUCGUAGAUAUUCGCAAGAACACCAGUGGCGAAAGGCGGCUCACUGGCCCGAUACUGACGCCUGAGGCACGAA
rnacentral:rRNA from 1 species